UUCUACUCAUAAGCCUAUAGUCUACUAUACUAGGUUACUUGCUCUGCUGGAAUAGCGGGCACAUCUUGCAAAUCAGGACUCUGGACAUGCCAUUAAUAUUAAUAAUGAUAUAUCCUCAUGCCUAGGUAUCGCGAAAGCCAAGUCUCAGGGGAAAAAUACAGAUUGGGACCAGAACUGAAAAUAUGGUAUUUUUUAAGUACAUCUCCUUCAUCAAAGUUGUGACUGCAGUGAUUGUUGAGUACAUUACUGUAUACAGUGAGUAGCCUACAGCACAUAUUUAGCUUAUUAGACAAAUGUAUGUCUUUGUUUAUUUGACUCCUAUAAAGCUCUGUGCUUGUGCAUAUAAUAAGCAUCCUACAUGGCCAUGCCUGCUCUGAAUUUCCAUGAACUUUCCCUCAACCUCCUCUCUUUCUGUCCCUGGUCAUCAGUGGGUAUGGCUGUGCAGACCACUUAUACGAGUCAGACACCCUGCUGCACUGUUUCUAGGUACUCAUGAAGCUGCUAGGGUCACCUGUCACCCAGGACAUCAUCUGACAAGCACUUCAGCUAUGUUGUGGCUCUCUUUGCCUCCUGAACUAUCACACCCCACUAAACAGUGUAUGUUGCUGUUUAGUGUGUAUGUUGCUGUGGCUAAGGUUCAUUAUAAGUCUUGGAAACCGGGAGUUCCGCUGGUUUUCACCAUGGAAUAAACUCAGGUUAGUGAUCAACAUAGAAUCUGCACAAGAAAGCCUACCUUCUGAACAUAAUGAUAAUGCUUUGAUAAACAGGGAAAUUAAAGAUUCUCCGGUACUUGUGUAUACUUUUUAGCCAGUAGUUCUGAAAGUAGGGCUCAUAAGCCAAAAGUAUUCUCAGAAAAUUGCAUACUGUGUCACAAAUGUUCAGAUAUGUCCACCAAGUCAUUGCUCUCUCUCUCUCUCGCUCUGCUGUGUGUUCAUCUUGAUAGUUGACACUCAAAUGGCGAGGGGCAGAAGCUCAUUGGCUAGAACUCGAAUUGCUACGGGGCUGGGCCACAUAGGGGAACAUUUAGGGGAAAUGGCACAGCACAGCUUCGAGAAAAACAGUUGCUUUCAAACUAGGGAUUUUGUGGCUAAUUUAGGGAAGACAGUAAUUUUGCUCAUAGAUUAUGUAUGUAUGAACUACACAUGGACACUAUCCAGCCCAAAGCGAGAGGUUGAAAAAAUACUUAGUAUUCACCAAAGUACCAGAGCAUGUCUUUAAAUGUUUUGAUCUAAGGUCAAAGCAGAUUUGGUAAGUGGAAAAGGACAAUAAUCCAUUUAUUUCACAUCACUCAUAAUAACAUGUACGCAUUUAGCUGCACCCCCCAUAACACCUGCAAAUAUCUGUACGCGACCAAUAAACUUUGAUUUGAUUUGAACAUGGCAUUAUUGUGCUUGUCUGCCACAGACAUGUGGAGGAGUACUUCCUGCCCAGGAUGAUCCAGGAUGUGACAGGACAGGUAGGAUCACAGGACAAUGUCCCCUUUGUUGACUGCGUCCUCUCAACCAAAGACACCUGCAUCGGGAGUGAGGUCUGUGCUGAACUGUGGAACCCUAGGAGGCACAUUCAAUUAAGAGCCUCAAACUAAGGUCUUUUCUUUUCAAACCUUACUCAAUUUCUGUAAUGAGUUGUGUACUACUGUGUGUCGUCAGUCAUUUGUGUAAUGGAUUGAAAGAGAGCUCAAAUUUUUUUUGAGAGAUUAAGUGAGAUUGCUUAUGUGAAUAAAUAUAUACAGUAUACAGUUUUUCUAGUUUUUCUAGUAAGCUACAGUAUGUAAUGAAGUAUGUGGGAAUGCCAUGUGCUUGGCAGCCCCCAUGUGGACAUGGGUCUGGACGGUGUGGAGAUCUUCACCAACUCCUCAGCCAACUACCACGAGCUACGCAAGGCAGACCACAGAGUCAUCCUGGUUAAAUCAGCCACCACGAAGGUGAUCAUACACACACGAACGGACGGAUGGACACAUGCACAUGUUACACCGCCCUCAAACUCAACUCUGGACCUCGAAGCCGGUUCCACUGCAUUUUUUAUUGUUCCCCUCUAAUCAGGGACCGGUUUAGACCUGGGACAACAGGUGUGUGUGCAAUUAAUUAUGAGAUCGAGCAGAAAACCAGCGGGCUCCGGACCACGUAGGCUAAGGGAGGUUGUGUCACUCUGAGUCUGGAGGAUGUCCGCAGCUACAGAGGAGAGCAUUGCCACCCACACAUGGAGUAUGAGCACAAGCCGUGUCAUCGAGUCAAAGUGGACUUCUCCUGGUCUGAUUGUGAAGAUGUCUACCUCCCCACUCGCCAGCCCAUUGAGUGGCAGAUCCACACCCCUGAGGAAGAGAUUCGGCAUGGCACCCCCUGACAAAGACUGGGAUCACAAGAGUGUUGUGUGGCUAAAAUGCUGCCCAAAAUAAAUAGUA